CAGAGUAAAUGAGAGACAAGAGAACAGAGUCGACAGGUGGUAGUCAUGCAUCAGGCUAACCCAAUUUAUGAUGAAACAUCCUUCAUAUCUGCGAAGGAGUGAAUGUCGUAAACGAUUUUUUAAACUUUAGCUUUUAUAUAAUCACAAUGCCAAAAUGGCGUAGGAUAAUUUUGUAGUUUCUAAUAUUUGGUUGUACUCAAACAUAAGCAUUCAUAACUAAAUUCUAAUUAUUUCAAGAACUAUGAUUAAAAUCCAUUUUGUCAC